rnacentral:misc_RNA from 1 species
GAAAUGCGAUAAGUAGUGUGAAUUGCAGAAUUCAGUGAAUCAUCGAAUCUUUGAACGCACAUUGCGCCCUUUGGUAUUCCUUAGGGCAUGCCUGUUCGAGCGUCAUCUAAACCUUCAAGCCCUGCUUGUUGUUGGGUGCCUGUCCCGCCUCCGCGCGCGGACUCACCUCAAAUCCAUUGGCGGCCCCCGCGUCGGCCACGAGCGCAGCAGAAACGCGAACUCGUGAGCCCGUCCGGGCGGCUCCCAGAAGCUACACCCACCCAGUUUGACCUCGGAUCAGGUAGGGAUGCCCGCUGAACUUAAGC